rnacentral:lncRNA from 1 species
UUCAUUCCAUCUCAGACCACAAUUCGUAACAUUUAUUAUGCAAAUACGUAUCUUUAACAAAGACUACACAUUCAAUUCAUUCCACAGAAAUCAUCUCUGAUAUGGAAUAAAAAUCUUUCCAUAUCUAAGAGCAACAUAAUAGGAGUAGAGAGAGAAAGACAAGAUGACCUUUUUACCCUUUGGGCCUUUUAUUUACAAAUCACGAGUGCAAAUCUGAGGAAUCGUCCAAAGACUUAAUUUUAGAUCUGGGUGGUUCCUUUGUGAUAAAUGGACGGAAGGAUUUUGUUCCUAUUUUAUACACUUAAGAGUAUUUUCAUGGUAGCCCACCCAUAUAUAUAUGAGGUGGUCUUGGGGGUGCAAUCGGGUUGAACUCGCACCCAAACCCAGACCCGAAUUCAGAUCCUGAUCCGAACUGUUUAAAUGAUGCUAUUCGGCUACACAAAUGAAACUGCGUAUAAACGAUACUAUAAUAUUGUAAUGACACUGUGUAUAAUUGACACGAUUUGAUUAUACAAAUGACACUAAUCGUAUAAUGACACUAUUCGGUUAUACAAAUGACACUGCCUACAGUUAGGGUGGAAAUCGGGUAUCCCGGUACCCUACCCGCAAAAUGGCAUUGCGUAUAAAUUACAUUAUAACAUUGUAAAUGACACUGUGUAUAACUGACACUAUUCAGUUAUAUAAAUGACACUACCUAUAAUUGAUACUAUUCAGUUAUAGGCAGUGUCAUUUGUAUAAACGGAUAGUAUCAAUUAUAGGCAGUGUCAUUUAUACGAUUUGGG